UACGGGGGGGGCAAGCGUUGUUCGGAAUUACUGGGCGUAAAGGGCUCGUAGGCGGCCAACUAAGUCAGACGUGAAAUCCCUCAGCUUAACUGGGGAACUGCGUCUGAUACUGGAUGGCUUGGAUUCGGGAGAGGGAUGCGGAAUUCCAGGUGUAGCGGUGAAAUGCGUAGAUAUCUGGAGGAACACCGGUGGCGAAGGCGGCAUCCUGGACCAAUUCUGACGCUGAGGAGCGAAAGCCAGGGGAGCAAACGGG
rnacentral:rRNA from 1 species